rnacentral:rRNA from 1 species
GAUGAACGCUGGCGGCGUGCCUAAUACAUGCAAGUCGAGCGAACAAAUAAGGAGCUUGCUCCUUUGACGUUAGCGGCGGACGGGUGAGUAACACGUGGGUAACCUACCUAUAAGACUGGGAUAACUUCGGGAAACCGGAGCUAAUACCGGAUAACAUUUGGAACCGCAUGGUUCUAAAGUGAAAGAUGGUUUUGCUAUCACUUAUAGAUGGACCCGCGCCGUAUUAGCUAGUUGGUAAGGUAACGGCUUACCAAGGCAACGAUACGUAGCCGACCUGAGAGGGUGGUCGGCCACACUGGAACUGAGACACGGUCCAGACUCCUACGGGAGGCAGCAGUAGGGAAUCUUCCGCAAUGGGCGAAAGCCUGACGGAGCAACGCCGCGUGAGUGAUGAAGGGUUUCGGCUCGUAAAACUCUGUUAUUAGGGAAGAACAAACGUGUAAGUAACUGUGCACGUCUUGACGGUACCUAAUCAGAAAGCCACGGCUAACUACGUG